GAAUUCAUGAAAUUAGUUUUUAAAAAGGCAUGCACGUAAGCUCUACCUUGAAUGAAAAUGAAUCAAAAUAUAGCAAGUAAAAUUCUAAUAUAAGAAUGGUGGCUAGCCGAUGUGCAUGUUGACUUGCUUUCAAAAAAGCUUUCAGUUCUGAGAAAUCUUUUGCACCCUUCUUGAUUUGUUAAUUAAAUAUAAAUUGUUUGACUCUUCAGAUGUCAUAGGUGAUAGUAAAAUGUAAAAUAAUAGAUGAUACAGCUUGGGAAAACUCAAAACUGAAAGCAGCAGUGAUUUAAUAGAAAUUAAGCAAGCAGUAAAGCUGUGCUGCACCACAUUAUGGUCAAGUAGUUCAUACGUCAUUUUUUAUUUGGCCAUGAGAGGCAACUGAAAGUGAGUAUUUGCAUAAAAGUUUCUGUUUAUGUAGCUGGCCCUUAUUCUCUUUGCCCAUGUAAUUUUAUCUGGUCCUUGAUUAGGUAUGUAUACUGGUGCAGACUAUAAACAUGAUUCCAAAUACUGUGCCACUUACUUCUGGUUUCACCAGCACCAUGGAAAAUGUGUAACUACCUUCAAAAAGUUACAGGUUUUGACUUCUCUUGAAGUCAUCCAAAGUGCAUUUGUAGAAUCUAGACUCUUACGACUUCUCUGUAUUAUCAACAGCACCUCUGUGGUUUCUCUGUAUUGUACUAUAAAUGUUCAACUCCUGCGCCUGCCUGGAAUGUGUGGAAUGCUAGUCCACUUAGUGGAGAAUCAUCUAAGUCCAGUGAAUUAAAAUACACACCAGGGUCUCCAACAAGUGAAAUGCACAUGCAGGUGCAAGUUGUCCUCAACUACCUGACAGUGGUCACCAAGGAGAGAGAAAACAAAGUGCUAACCGUAUCUUGGAAAUGGGGAAGUUAAGAGUGUAUUAGAUUAAAGUUCUUUGCCCAUCUUAACAGGCAAAUGACUUUCCAAACUGACAGGGCUGAUUAGCUGGCACUGUGUUCUUAAAACCAGGAGCAAUGCACAACCUCAACAACUACUUGCCACCCUCUCUUGUCCAUAUAUUAUAGGGCUGUGCAGCACUUCAGAUUCAAUUUCAAAAAAUGCUUGAGAAUGCACAGGGGAAAGGAACAUGACCCUUGACUGCAACUCCUUAAAGCAGCUGUACCCUGUAUCAUGUGACAGGUGUGUGAUUUCUUGGAAAAGAUGCAGGUGCAUUAAGGUGUGCCAAGGUGCAAUCUGCUGUGCAUUCUGUAGCACCUUAUAGGAAGAAAGCCAUGUUAGUCUAUGGUAAUAAAAAGUCCGGAGGGCUCUAGAAGAACCUUUUCUGACUCACAUUUUAUUAAAAGACGUAGGCACUUGCAAGCUGCAGCUCACUUCUGAUGCACAGAGUGGCUAGAUUGAUACAGAAUUUAAAUUGGGGCAAGGUGGUGGGAACGGGGGAAAGACAGGUUGGUUAUGCAGAUGCAGCUUUAUCCCACAGGUUACCUAUGCAUCUGGUGGAGUGAGCUGCAACUCACAAAAGCGUAUGACUUUUAAUAAAAUGUAUUGGAAAAGGUGUUACCAGAGGCCUCCUGAUUUUUUAAAGCAUCUUUUGGAAUUGUGUCUGAAGCACUGCAGAUGUCUACAGUUACAGAUGCAGCAGGGGAGACACAUGUGGAAGUCUGUUGCUUUACAUGCUUAGCUCUUGAUAAAUCAAGCAUCGCUUUGGUAGCUCUAUAGGAGGGAGAUUCCUUGUUUGAUAAUGUUGGUCAAUAACUUCCUUGAUUUGAUUUGUUACCUUAAUUUCAAAUAGAAAUGACAAUGUUGUUAAUAGGAAUUUGAUCUGUAUAUUUGCAUGUUGCCUGCAAAAUCUGAUCUAUUGAAAGAGGAAAGGAAAUGGAUUAACAGCUAGCAUUAUGCUGCUCAGAUUGAUACCGUGCAAAAUGCCAGAAAUUCUUUCUGUUCCAACCACAGUGAUGCCGAUAGACAGCGUUUGGCACAAACUUCUUGAUUAAGAGUUUGCCAGUAAUCUUGUCUGUGUGUCAUAGGAUCCUGUAUAUAAAUUUGACCAUAUUUUAAAUGGGAAUAAUUACCAGAAGUAUCUUUCAGCACAAACUGGCUUGUGUUGGUUGCCCACAUGGACCCAGCAUAAUGUGCCUAGACGUCAUCUCUCUCUAUUCACCAAAGCAUAUUUUCUUUUUAAAAUGAAACCUUUUGCUCAUGCUUCUGUACCUGGAGCGCUCCAGCGUUAAUACAAAAUUCUUCUGUAGACUUCAUCCAUGGUUGGGAUCUUGGGAGUUCCAUGCAUGCACCUUAUGUUGGAGGACUCCUUUGUUCUUUCCUUAGAUUGGGGCAGAUGCUGCUCUUUAGAAUACUCUAAUUUGAGGAGUGGCUUUUUCUUAGGGGUGGGUGUAUGGAAAUGAGCUGCUGUAGGAAGGGGGGCUUCGAAAAGUCCUAGUGCAUGAGCAGCAGCAACUGUGCUGCCCUUUUGCAUCCCUUGUCCUCCCCCCAUCCCUCAAUUUCUUAAAAGGCUUGGCUGGCCCAGUGCCUUGAGAUGUGUACACAUCCAUAUGUGUUAACUGAGAGCAUGGAAGCACAAUGAGCUUGCUGCCAUGGCUUAAGGCAAACUUAUUAUAAGCCUAGUACAUAUUUUUAAAAUUCUGUGAAUUAUAACGUAAACAGUAAAUGACACGAUAUUGGCACUGUGUGGCCCAAACCCAAGCUUUCUUUUUUCCGCAGACAUUUAUCUAUCUAUAUAGAUACCUAUAUCUAAAAACUAAAUCAAAUAAUGCCCAUUUGGUUUUCCAGUUCACUGCAGGUUUUGUGCCUUGACAGCCCCACUGUGAACUUAGUAGACUUGUGGGUUUUUAAAAUCUUGAUAUAAUUUAACAUAUAUAACCUUUUUGUCUAUUAGAGGAUUUUAAAAAAAUAAAAUUUCCUUUUAAAUAGUCCUGCCAAAACAUUUUUAUGAAGAAUUUUCUUUGGUUGUGGAGAAACCAGAUAUAAAUUUCUUCCCAGAGAAUUACUAAGACUUUCAAUGCUUUUAUUUUCUUUCAAUGAUUGUAAAUAUUUGAGUAUUUAUUAGAUUAGAGCAGUUCUUCUCAUCUGAGCCAAAUGUUACCUGUGUGCAAUGUUUCCUCUUUUCUUACUAUUUCAUGUAAGAUUUUUUUUUUGUAUAGCAGCAGAAAUUUCUCUAAACUUCUUUUUGUAAAAUUGAACUUGUUAAAUACUGUAGGUUCCCCCUUUCUUUGUACUUAAUGCACUCUACUGUUUCAUAAUGCUGUAACUUGUAGAAACGUUGUAUAUUUAUUUUCUGCUUAUUUAAGUUCUUGUAAAGUCUUUUUUUCCUUUAAAUUUUACUUAGCAUAUAUGAAAAUAGUGAUUGAUCAGUUUAGAGCACUGUCUACUAGUUUGGGAUAGUUGGCCCUAUUUUAGAUGAUAUUAACCCCCCUACUUUCUCUCAUUGCUCUUGCCUCCUCCUCUGGCUUGUUACAGGGUUCAAGCAUGAAGUGCAAGCAGAGAGUAGAAUUCCACGGUGUCAUUAGGAAAGCCCCAUACCCAAGGGCCACAUACAGCAUCUCACUUGAAGUUUUGAAACAUUUGUUCUACAUAACUUUUUUGUGGGGACUGAUGGUGGCUUUCAAAGAAAUUUUGACUAAAGCAACAUGCAGUGCUCUGAAUUAGUCUUCAAAAAUGAUAGGAUGUGACCUAAGAACUCGCAUGGGCAUCUUGUGUGUUCAGUCAGAAUUCAGUUGACCCCAACAACCCACCACAAAAAUCAGUAUCUGUAGAAAAUUCAUGAAAUGCCAGAUAACCUUUUUGGUGCUUCCUGUUUCUUCCUUGAAUUGUGCUAAUUAUUAAGGGCUGUUAAUACUGCAUCCCUUGACCUCAGUUUAUGUAGCACAGGAUAUGGCUGUUACCUCAUGAUCAAGAAGUACCUGCAAUUUAUUCAAGAACUACUAAAUUUUUAGGGGAUGAGUGAAAUUUUGCACCCUGGUUUAAAGACCACUAGUUACUGUAUGACAGACCUCGUCAUCGAGUACAAACAUCAACGUAGCACUGAUCUUGUACUGAUUAAUCACUAAUUGGUUUCAUAGAACCCAGCAUAUGUAGCAUUUUUAUUGCAGUUUCCCUGGCUUACUUGUGUUUUGCACUGAUGAAAAUUUGACAGGGUAAUUGCCACUUUACUUGUGCAAUACUGCUGUAAAUAACUGCAGAUCCUUUUUUUUUAAGAUGCAAUCCUUUAUGUUCUUAAUAAUGGAUUUUAUAUGAAUAAAACUUUCAACUAUU